rnacentral:rRNA from 1 species
UACAGGGGGUGCAAACGUUGCUCGGAAUCAUUGGGCGUAAAGCGCGUGUAGGUGGAUUGGUGUGUCAGAUGUGAAAUCCCUGGGCUCAACCCAGGAACUGCACCUGAAACUACCAGUCUUGAGUGGUGGAGAGGGAAGUGGAAUUCCCGGUGUAGCGGUGAAAUGCGCAGAUAUCGGGAGGAACACCGGUGGCGAAGGCAGCUCGCUGGGACGGUACUGACGCUGAGACACGAAAGCGUGGGGAGCAAACAGG